rnacentral:rRNA from 1 species
GACGGGCAGCUUCCCGGAAACGAAAGUUUUUCGGUUCCGGGGGAAGUAUGGUUGCAAAGCUGAAACUUAAAGAAAUUGACGGAAGGGCACCACCAGGAGUGGAGCCUGCGGCUUAAUUUGACUCARCACGGGAAAACUCACCUGGMCCGGACACCGUGAGGAUUGACAGAUUGAGAGCUCUUUCAUGAUUCGGUGGUUGGUGGUGCAUGGCCGUUCUUAGUUGGUGGAGUGAUUUGUCUGGUUUAUUCCGAUAACGAGCGAGACUCUAGCCUACUAAAUAGUUACUGGAUAAUUUUAUCGUCCAGACAACUUCUUAGAGGGACAAGCGGUGUUUAGCCGCAUGAAGUUGAGCAAUAACAGGUCUGUGAUGCCCUUAGAUGUCCAGGGCUGCACGCSCGCUACACUGRAGGAAUCAGCGUGCUGUAACCAUUACCGAAAGGUAUUGGUAACCCCUUGAAAAUCCUCCGUGAUCGGGAUCGGGAAUUGCAAUUAUUUCCCUUGAACGAGGAAUUCCUAGUAAGUGUGAGUCAUCAGCUCACGUUGAUUACKUCCCUGCCCUUUGUACACACCGCCCGUCGCUGCCCGGGACUGAGCCGUUUCKAGAAAAGCGGAGACUGCUGUUUCAAUACCUUUCAAGGGUAGAGAUUCUUUGGUGGAAACUGCUUUAAU